ACUCCUACGGGAGGCAGCAGUGGGGAAUCUUGCGCAAUGGGCGAAAGCCUGACGCAGCAACGCCGCGUGGGGGAUGAAUGCCUUCGGGUUGUAAACCCCUUUCAGCAGGGACGAAAAUGACGGUACCUGCAGAAGAAGCCCCGGCCAACUACGUGCCAGCAGCCGCGGUAAUACGUAGGGGGCGAGCGUUGUCCGGAUUUAUUGGGCGUAAAGAGCUCGUAGGCGGCUUGGCAAGUCGGGUGUGAAACCUCCAGGCUCAACCUGGAGACGCCACUCGAUACUGCUAUGGCUAGAGUCCGGUAGGGGACCAC
rnacentral:rRNA from 1 species